AAUCAACGCUGGCGGCGCGCUUAACACAUGCAAGUCGAACGAGAAAGGGGAGCAAUCCCUGAGUAAAGUGGCGCACGGGUGAGUAACACGUGGGUAAUCUACCUCUGGGUGGGGAAUAACUCUGGGAAACCGGAGCUAAUACCGCAUAAGCUCGAAAGAGGAAAGGCGAAAGUCGCCGGGAGAGGAGCCCGCGGUCGAUUAGCUAGUUGGUGAGGUAAGAGCUCACCAAGGCUGAGANCGAUAGCCGGCCUGAGAGGGCACACGGCCACACUGGCACUGAAACACGGGCCAGACUCCUACGGGAGGCAGCAGUGGGGAAUCUUGCACAAUGGGGGAAACCCUGAUGCAGCGACGCCGCGUGAGUGAUGAAGCCCUUCGGGUGUAAAGCUCUUUCGACCCGGAAGAUAAUGACGGUAC
rnacentral:rRNA from 1 species